AAAUGGAGGUGUGUAUCAUAUAACUCGUCGAUUUAGUUUGGUUAUCAAUACUAGCUUUGUAUUUUGAAUUAACCUAAAAAUUUACUAAUAACAUUUCAUUUUGGGUUCACUUUUAGAUUGGCAUUUUAAGUACUUCAGGGGGAAAACAGUUGGCAACUUUAACGGUUGACCCAAAUUCAACACUAUAGGAGCUGAAGACCCAAAUUCACCGCUUGAAAUCUCAUCGUUUCGUCAAGUUUCGUCAAGAACCUCGUGGCAAAGGACUGGAUGAGAGCAAAACAGUUGCAGCACUUGGUUUGAAAGACAUUCUACGUGCAGCCAGCCAGCCCAUGAGUCAAGUUAGCCACAUUGCAGCCAUUUGCUGGGUGUUUCACUACAGCAAACGCAUCUUGGAAACUCUAUUCGUUCAUCGGUUCAAGUGUGUUUAGUGUGUGUUUGCAACGUCCAGGGGGUUACAAUAAGUGAUAGUUACAUUAAGCUGGAUCUAUUCGGCAAUCCAGGGAUAGCCAGCCUUUAGGCCGUUACUGGAGUAGGCCAUGCCUUUACUGAGCAGUUGACCAAGGACUAGUGUGUGUUCUAGUUUCGUCACUUUUGCAACGUGUCAGUAGUUUCAUUUAACUAAAAAUGGUGGUGAAUUUAGAUGACAAUGAGUGUUUUACUAAUUUUGUGACAUCCCACCUAGCAUUUCUUUAUUGGUAAAAUAUUUUUUUCCGACAAUAUUCUUCGAUCGAUAACCCACAUAUUGGU